rnacentral:tRNA from 4 species
GGGGCCGUGGGGUAGCUUGGCCUAUCCUGCGGGCUUUGGGAGCCCGUGACCCGAGUUCAAAUCUCGGCGGCCCCACCA